UAUAAUGGAUUCAUCCUCUAGAAGCUCUAAUGACCGGGAAGUUGCUGGUGCUCUUGCUACUCUAGUGUGAUGGAAUCAAUAAACAAUUUUACUUUAAAAA